rnacentral:rRNA from 1 species
GAUGAACGCUAGCUACAGGCUUAACACAUGCAAGUCGAGGGGAAACGAUAGAGAAAGCUUGCUUUUUCUAGGCGUCGACCGGCGCACGGGUGAGUAACGCGUAUCCAACCUGCCCAUCACUUGGGGAUAACCUUGCGAAAGUAAGACUAAUACCCAAUGAUAUCUCUAGAAGACAUCUGAAGGAGAUUAAAGAUUUAUAGGUGAUGGAUGGGGAUGCGUCUGAUUAGCUUGUCGGCGGGGUAACGGCCCACCAAGGCGACGAUCAGUAGGGGUUCUGAGAGGAAGGUCCCCCACAUUGGAACUGAGACACGGUCCAAACUCCUACGGGAGGCAGCAGUGAGGAAUAUUGGUCAAUGGGCGAGAGCCUGAACCAGCCAAGUAGCGUGCAGGAUGACGGCCCUAUGGGUUGUAAACUGCUUUUAUAAGGGAAUAAAGUGAGUCUCGUGAGGCUUUUUGCAUGUACCUUAUGAAUAAGGACCGGCUAAUUCCGUGCCAGCCGCCGCGGUAA